rnacentral:misc_RNA from 1 species
GAUGAAGAACGCAGCGAAAUGCGAUACGUAAUGUGAAUUGCAGAAUUCAGUGAAUCAUCGAAUCUUUGAACGCAUAUUGCGCUCUCUGGUAUUCCGGAGAGCAUGCUUGUUUGAGUAUCAGUAAACACCUCAACUCCCUUUUCUUUUUUGAAAUUGGAGCUGGACUUGAGUGAUCCCAACGCUUUCUUCCAAGAAAGUGGCGGGUUGCUUGAAAUGCAGGUGCAGCUGAACUUUUCUCUGAGCUAAAAGCAUAUCUAUUUAGUCUGCCUAAAAACAGAUUAUUACCUUUGCUGCAGCUAACAUAAAGGAGAUUAGUUCUUGUGCUGACUGAUGCAGGAUUCACAGAGACAGCUUCGGCUGGCCUUUGUAAACUCGAUCUCAAAUCAAGUAAGACUACCCGCUGAACUUAAGCAUAUCAAUAAGCGGAGGA